ACGUCACCUCCACUUGAAAACAUCAAGAUGGCGUCGCCGGGAGUACUUCAAACUUAAAAUCAGAUCAAAUGUAUAUCAAGUGUUAUCCAUCCUGAUAACACCUCCACAAAUAGAGACUGGAACUUCUGAGCACCAUCACCUUGUCUGCUUUGGGACUGUCAUAGGAGAAUGAUGCAGUACUUUUCUGUGUUGAAUUUACAAAACGUCAGUACACAGACAUAGUUUUGUUCCAGUUUUGCUGUGCUCAUGUCUUCUUUGUGUCCCCAGCCCAGCAAUCAGAUGCAUCAGAACAACAAAGCACAACUGUGGUGGCCCAGGCACCUUCAGCAACAAAGAUUUAACAUCAUUGUCAGUCAGGAGCAUAUUUAACAGGAGCCACACUCAACUGGCUUGAUGGUGACUUCAGUAAGUGUGGUUGACCCUCUUGUUUUUGUGGCUAUAAUAAUUAGGCUAAGUAAUCUCACUCUCUUCCAUUUCCCUAACAUGAAACUUUUGACUGAAACAUGAAAAUGAUACUUAACCGGUGCAGUGAAGAUAUUUAAAGAGACGCUGUCACUAUCUAAAGUACAGAAAGCCUUACAUCAUCUCUAGGUGCAGUCACCUACAGCGCAGCCAGCUUCACAAAGACUGUGGGGCUGGUCACCAGGAAAAUGGAGAACAGGGAGUGCUUUUGGGGUUUUACUCCUCAAAUGAUCACCCUGGCUACUGUAGCUGGGAUUGCUUCACAGACGAUGGAGGUUUUGAAGAGUAAAGUGUGCGUGCGUGCGCACACAUUGUGUUUUUACUGUAACAAUUAUGGUCAAUUGCAGUUCAUGUGAUUUCAGUGUAGUGUAAGAUGUGUUAAUUAUUAUUAUUACUCAAAAACCAUUAAAACUUCUAAAUUGUGGAAGUUAUUCUUCAUUAUGUUACUGUGGUUAUUUUGUAUGUUAUUAUUUUGAUUAAAAUACAAAAUUCGACACACAAAUUCUGGUUGAGGUAUUAUUUUAAUAAUUUAUUUAAUAUUUCAUUAUUUUUUCACUGCUAAAUAUUACAAACAUAGGGUUAACUUUCUAAAAUGCAUGGAAUGUUACAUUGUCAGUUGUACAUUGGUAAAACAAACAUGAAAAAAAGGCAGAAGCCCUACAAAUAUGGAUUGUGGAUGUCUGUAGUGCAAAUUGCUGAGGGGAAAUAAAAAAAAAUUGCUGUCGUGUCAUAAACCGUGAAAGAUUAGUAUAUUAUUAUUUUUAUUAUUUCUACUAGGUAAAAGUAACAACGAU